rnacentral:rRNA from 1 species
UGCGUAGGCGGCCCGGCAAGUCAGCGGUGAAAUGCCCGCGCUCCACGCGGGGCUUGCCGUUGAAACUUCCGGGCUAGGGUGCCGUCGGGGCGGGCGGAAUGCGCGGUGUAGCGGUGAAAUGCAUAGAUAUCGCGCAGAACGCCGGUCGGGAAGCCAGCUCGCCAGACGGAGACCGACGCUGAGGCACGAAAGCGUGGGGAUCGAACA